rnacentral:misc_RNA from 1 species
GUCAUCCGCUUCACGUUGUGUAUAUCCUCUCUUUUAUCUUCUCGGCUCAACAGCUUCUUGCGAACCUUGUCACCGCACCUUUUCCCUCGCCCAGGCCUCACAUAUUCUACUGCCUGCCUGUGUGUGUGUGCGUGUGCCGUGUGCGUGCGCCAGGGAAUCGGUCGAAGAGGCGUCGAAAGCGGUGUUGUUGCUGCCAAGCGCCUCCCUUCCUCCUUCUCCAAAAACGGCCGACAACGAGAAACUCUCAUGUGGUGUGCGCCGCGACAUUGCUGCUGUGUUGUUCCAUAGAAUUUGUACAGCGUAGGCACAUUUUCCCUUUGAAGUUACACACACACACACACACACACAGCAGCAGCAGCAGCAGCAGCAGCAGCAGCGAUUCGUCUACUCACCGACUUCCGCUGCCGACAGACAUGCGAAUGACGAUCCUGCACUCGCGUCGCGCUGCCGUGCGGUGCGCAUGCAUGCUUGUGCUUGUGCUUCUAUGCGUAGCGCUGAGCUCGUGCGCAUUUUUCGACUUUGGCGGCGGUCGUCGUGCCGACGCGCCGUCCGCAGAGGUGCACCAUGCCCAGGAGGUGGACUACUACAAGGUGCUGCAGCUGGAGGAUAAGCGCGAGGAAGCGACAGAGAAGGACAUCCGUCAGCAAUUCCGCCGCCUCUCUCGCCUUUACCACCCCGACGUGGCGAAGACGGAGGAGGACAAGGCCAAGUACAGUCAAGUUAACCGUGCGUACGAGGUGCUGUCCGACAAGCGGAAACGCAAGGUGUACGACAUGCGCGGGGAGCGGGGCUUGGAGCAGCUCGAACACAUAGACCGCUCCAAGGACACCCCUGGCGGUGGUAUGAACCCCCUCGCCCGGCUCUUCGGCAUGCGGGUGGACGAUGGCCUGCGAGGGCCCGACAUGGAGCUGGAAGCGAAGGUGGACCUCGCCAAGUUGUUCACUGGCGGGCAGGAGACACUCCAGGUCAACAAGCAAAAGGUAUGCCACGCCUGCAAAGGCAAUGGUGCAGAUACUAAGGCGGCUAUUGUGCAGUGCCGGCAGUGCGGGGGCGAGGGCGUGCUGCGCCAGCGCAUCCAGUUUGCCCCUGGCAUGAUCCAAGAGUUGCACCAGAAGUGCCCCAGCUGUGGCGGAGCAGGUCGGCGGCCGGAGCGGCUGUGUUCUGUGUGCCGAGGCAACAAAGUCUUGCUCGGCAGCAGCACAGUUACACUGGAGCUGGAGCCUGGCAUGGAGGAGGGCCACGUGCUGAAGUUCGAGAUGGAGGCGGAGGAGUCGCCGGACCGGCUGCCGGGGGAUCUUCUCGUACACGUGCACACCCUCCCGCACCCCGUCUUCUCACGCCGCCGCAACCAGCUAGACUUGGACACGUCGCUGACGCUGACUCUUCAGGAGGCCCUCGUAGGUUUUGACCGCAACAUCACACACCUAGACGGAGUGGAGCAGGUUCGGGUGCAGCGCCUCGACACCGUCUCACCCUAUGGCACCGUGCUUCGGCUCCCGGGAAAGGGAAUGCCAAAGAUGAAUGUCGCCUCCGAGCGGGGUGACCUCUACGUCAGGCUGCAGUACGACAUGCCCGCGCAGCUUACAGAGGAGCAGAGGAAGCUGGUGGAAAUGCUUCUGUGAGGUGCCGCCCCGAAUCGACUCUGUGAUCGGCGGUGGAGGCUACUACGCAUGAUAGCAGCGCGUCGUCAUGAAAGGCGGUCUUCGGUCAUGUACCUCAGGGGCUGGAGCUUCCUCACGCGCACUGAUAUACGUGUCUUUGCAGGCCCUUGCGUACAAGGUGUGCACUUGUUUCCGUUGGGCAGACGACACACCCACGGAAGGUCGUGGAUGAACGCGGUGCUCGAGGCGGCGGCGGAUCUCUCUCAUCGUGGGCUCGCACUGGGAGUGCUUCCUAUGGUGCUGCCUUGCGCGCGUUUUGUUUUUGUCUUUUGUCUUUGCUGGCUCUGCUUUGCAAGAGGGCACACGCAGACACAG